AACGUCGUGAGACAGUUCGGUCCCUAUCCUCUGCAGCCGGAGGAAACUUGAGAAAGGCUGUCCCUAGUACGAGAGGACCGGGACGGACGUAGCUCUCGUGUGCCAGUUGUCCUGCCAAGGGCAUGGCUGGUUAGCGACCUACGGAAGAGAUAAGCGCUGAAAGCAUCUAAGUGCGAAGCUCGUUUCAAGAUGAGGUUUCCCACUGGGUCAACCAGGUAAGGUCCGUGACAGACGAUCACGUUGAUAGGCCGGAGGUGUACGCAUGGCAACAUGUUCAGCCGACCGGUACUAAUCGGCCGAGGGCUUGGAUC
rnacentral:rRNA from 1 species